rnacentral:rRNA from 1 species
AUUGAACGCUGGCGGCAUGCUUUACACAUGCAAGUCGAACGGCAGCGCGGGCUUCGGCCUGGCGGCGAGUGGCGAACGGGUGAGUAAUGCAUCGGAACGUGCCCAGUCGUUGGGGAUAGCCCGGCGAAAGCCGGCUUAAUACCGCAUCCGACCUGAGGGUGAAAGCGGGGGACCGAAAGGCCUCGCGCUAUUGGCGCGGCCGAUGUCGGAUUAGCUAGUUGGUGGGGUAAAGGCUUACCAAGGCGACGAUCCGUAGCUGGUCUGAGAGGACGACCAGCCACACUGGGACUGAGACACGGCCCAGACUCCUACGGGAGGCAGCAGUGGGGAAUUUUGGACAAUGGGGGCAACCCUGAUCCAGCCAUGCCGCGUGCGGGAAGAAGGCCUUCGGGUUGUAAACCGCUUUUGUUCGGGAAGAAAUCCUCUGGGCUAAUACCCCGGGGGGAUGACGGUACCGGAAGAAUAAGCACCGGCUAACUACGUG